rnacentral:rRNA from 3 species
CGAACGGGUGAGUAACACGUGGGCAAUCUGCCCUGCACUCUGGGACAACCCGGGGAAACCCGGGCUAAUACCGGAUACGACCCUCCAGGGCAUCUUGGGGGGUGGAAAGCUCCGGCGGUGCAGGAUGAGCCCGCGGCCUAUCAGCUUGUUGGUGGGGUGAUGGCCCACCAAGGCGACGACGGGUAGCCGGCCUGAGAGGGCGACCGGCCACACUGGGACUGAGACACGGCCCAGACUCCUACGGGAGGCAGCAGUGGGGAAUAUUGCACAAUGGGCGCAAGCCUGAUGCAGCGACGCCGCGUGAGGGAUGACGGCCUUCGGGUUGUAAACCUCUUUCAGCAGGGAAGAAGCGCAAGUGACGGUACCUG